CAGAAACAUGUCAAGGGCUGACUUCACUUCCUUAUAGAUCAUGCUCAAUUUAUCACCGGAUUGAAGAAGAACAGGCCUGAUUGUCUCGCCUGAGAGAGCGUCCUUCAGGCCUCAGGACCUCAGCAGCUGUGUCAGCAAGCAUCCAGCCUGCAGAGGGGGUCUUUGAUCAACACACGGAGUCCCUACAAGCUGUUUUGCCGCUGACCCUGACCUCUGACCUUUGCGGAGCUCGAAGAACGCAGAGUGUCCCUACUGGGAUCAAUGGGGAACUACAGGAGUUCGCUUUAGUUCUGCUUGACAGUUUUCAACUGAAGACGGAACAGAACUGAGUGAACGCUUCACAUUCUCUGCUGCUCUGAUGGCAACUGCUACAGCAACUGAACUCUAUGUAUGCUAAUCAACAAAUGGACAUCAGAAUAAUAAAAUAAUAAUAAUGUUGUAUGAUACA
rnacentral:lncRNA from 1 species